UACGGAGGGAGCUAGCGUUGUUCGGAAUUACUGGGCGUAAAGCGCACGUAGGCGGCUUUGUAAGUUAGAGGUGAAAGCCCGGGGCUCAACCCCGGAAUUGCCUUUAAGACUGCAUCGCUUGAAUCCAGGAGAGGUGAGUGGAAUUCCGAGUGUAGAGGUGAAAUUCGUAGAUAUUCGGAAGAACACCAGUGGCGAAGGCGGCUCACUGAACUGGUAUUGACGCUGAGGCACGAAAGCGUGGGGAGCAAACAGG
rnacentral:rRNA from 1 species